ensembl:misc_RNA Metazoa_SRP Metazoan signal recognition particle RNA
GCCCGGUGUGGUGGUGCACUCCUGUAAUCCCAGCUGCUUGGGAGGCUGAGGCAGGAGGAUCACUUGAGCCUAGGAGGUCAAGGCUACAGUGAGCUGUGAUUGCACCACUGCAUUCUAGCCUGGGCAACACAGUGAGACCCUGUCUCAA